GUAAGGGAUAUUGGUCAAUGGGCGAAAGCCUGAACCAGCAACGCCGCGUGGAGGAUGAAGGCCUUCGGGUUGUAAACUUCUUUGGAGGGGGACGAAUAAUGACGGUACCCCUCGAACAAGUCACGGCUAACUACGUGCCAGCAGCCGCGGUAAAACGUAGGUGGCGAGCGUUAUCCGGAUUUACUGGGCGUAAAGGGUGUGCAGGCGGGACCUCAAGUGGUGCAUGAAAGCUCUCGGCUUAACCGAGAAACGGUGUGCCAGACUGAGGACCUAGAGGGUGGGAGAGGGACGUGGAAUUCCGGGUGUAGUGGUAAAAUGCGUAGAGAUCCGGAGGAACACCAGAGGCGAAGGCGGCGUCCUGGCCCACAACUGACGCUCAUACACGACAGCAUGGGGAGCGAACGGGAUUAGAAACCCGGGUAGUCC
rnacentral:rRNA from 1 species